rnacentral:rRNA from 1 species
UACAGAGACUGCAAGCGUUAUUCGGAUUCACUGGGCGUAAAGGGUGCGCAGGCGGUCUGGUGUGUCAGAUGUGAAAUCCCGAGGCUCAACCUCGGAACUGCGUCUGAAACUACUCGACUAGAGUACUGGAGAGGGUAACGGAAUUCACGGUGUAGCAGUGAAAUGCGUAGAUAUCGUGAGGAACACCAGAGGCGAAGGCGGUUACCUGGACAGUUACUGACGCUCAGGCACGAAAGCAUGGGGAGCAAAAGGG